UAUGAACUCUGGACUCUGCCAUUUUAACUGCAAUAAAAAGAGAAAACAUUCAUAUUUACAUCAUUACCAUUCAUCAAAUUCUCUCUUUUGCUCAAUCACACAGAUACAAACAUCACUUCUUCUUUCUUCUUUCUUUCUAAGGUUAGCAGUGUGUAGAAUAGGGUUCUAAUCAGAAGACCGAUCCAGCCAGCAGAUGGUAGUGAUGAUCUUUAAUUAUAGUCAUAUUAUCCUGAGCUGUAAAGAUUUAACAGUGACUAUCAAUAUUAGCUUCUCUUAUCUCUUUGGACACAUUCACAUGAGUAAAUGAGUAAAAUUGCUUCCAUGAAAAAUAGUCUCAAUGCUUUUCCAUCCCCUCCUAACAAAAUAAAUGUAGCAUAAAUGUAGCUGACUGGUGGUCAUUUACUGUCUGAGAAGAGAGUAUCAUUACCACCUGCUGGUCAAUGUUGGGAACUGCGGGGAAUUUACAAAUCAUAAAGUCAGACAUACAAUUUAGGAGGCUGGGGGUAAAGACUGAGUUUGGGUUACGGUGUAUAGGGACAAGGGACAUGGCUGGGGGUAGAGGCUGAGUUUGGGUUAGGGUGUGUAGGGGACAGGGCUGGGGGUAAAGACUGGGUUUGGGUUAGGGUGUGUAUGGGACAGGGGACAGAGCUGGGGGUAAAGGCUGAGUUUGGGUUAGGGUGUGUAGGGGACAGGGCUGGGGGUAAAGGCUGAGUUUGGGUUAGGGUGUGUAGGGGACAGGGCUGGGGGUAAAGGCUGAGUUUGGGUUAGGGUGUGCAGGGGACAGGGCUGGGGGUAAAGGCUGAGUUUGGGUUAGGGUGUGUAGGGGACAGGGCUGGGGGUAAAGGCUGAGUUUGGGUUAGGGUGUGUAGGGGACAGGGCUGGGGGUAAAGGCUGAGUUUGGGUUAGGCUGUGCAGGGGACAGGGCUGGGGGUAAAGACUGAGUUUGGGUUAGGGUGUGUAGGGGACAGGGGACAGGGCUGGGGGUAAAGACUGAGUUUGGGUUAGGGUGUGUAGGGGACAGGGCUGGGGUAAAGACUGAGUUUGGGUUAGGGUGUGUAGGGGACAGGGGACAGGGCUGGGGGUAAAGACUGAGUUUGGGUUAGGGUGUGUAGGGGACAGGGGACAGGGCUGGGGGUAAAGACUGAGUUUGGGUUAGGGUGUGUAGGGGACAGGGGACAGGGCUGGAGGUAUAGGCUGAGUUUGGGUUAGGGUGUGUAGGGGACAGGGGACAGGGCUGGGGGUAAAGACUGAGUUUGGGUUAGGGUGUGUAGGGGACAGGGGACAGGGCUGGGGGUAAAGACUGAGUUUGGGUUAGGGUGUGUAGGGGACAGGGGACAGGGCUGGGGGUAAAGACUGAGUUUGGGUUAGGGUGUGUAGGGGACAGGGGACAGGGCUGGAGGUAUAGGCUGAGUUUGGGUUAGGGUGUGUAGGGGACAGGGGACAGGGCUGGGGGUAAAGACUGAGUUUGGGUUAGGGUGUGUAGGGGACAGGGGACAGGGCUGGGGGUAAAGACUGAGUUUGGGUUAGGGUGUGUAGGGGACAGGGCUGGGGGUAAAGACUGAGUUUGGGUUAGGGUGUGUAGGGGACAGGGGACAGGGCUGGGGGUAUAGGCUGAGUUUGGGUUAGGGUGUGUAGGGGACAGGGCUGGGGGUAUAGACUGAGUUUGGGUUAAAACCAUCUUUCUGAGACUCAUCCACAAACAGGACCAAGCCUGACCUGCUGAGGAGUGAUGGACUCCAUCCUAGCUGGAGGGAUGCUCUCAUCUUAUCUACCAACAUAGACAGGGCUCUAACUCCUCUAGCUCCACAAUGAAAUAGGGUGCAGGCCUAUUACAAGCUGGGCACUUACAAACAGUAUCCAUGUCGGCACCUUAAGUUAUUCAAGACUUUACUUUUCACAAAAGGCAUCGGAAACCAUAUAUUUUUAUUGGUCAAUUAUCAUUAAAUGUAGUCUCAGUUUGACAACUUUCAUCAAGUUUCUACUGUGACAUUCUGCACAAUGCUGAGUCAUGUGGUAGCCCCUGGCAACAGUGUUUUACCCUGUUCAUCCUCAAACCCAAACCAGUAUGUUCUGACCCAGCUGUAGAUGUUCAGUAUAGCAGCAAAUCACUAAAAUAGGUGGCUUUUCUGCAACUGAAGAUGUAAAUAUUGUAGAUUUAUUUUGUGAGGUUUUUUAUUUUGAGUACAAAAUAUACAAGUGAUGCUAGAUCUUAUGUUUUACAAGUAUAUAUUUAAAGCUGCAUUUGAUUUGAACUGUUUGUUUUUAAGGUAAUUGCCUGUAUUACCACCUGCCCUGCUUGUUUACAGCUGAUCUGUCGUUCUCUAUCUAGACAAUAUUACCAUGUCGUCUUAGAAGGUUACUGGGGAUUUGUCAUUAACUAUUUCUCAUUGAGCCUCAUUCAGUGAAACAGUUCAUUCAGCCUCAUUUACUGCUUUAAAAAAACAUAGCUGAUAUGGAUGACUUACUUAAACAAAUGUGGUUUCUACUGACAAUUGAGAUGAACAAACU